rnacentral:tRNA from 1 species
GGGGCGGCGCCGACGUUCGGAGAGUCGGGCCUGCCUGUAAAGCAGGUGCCACAGCGCUGAGCGGGUUCGAAUCCCGCCCGCCCCA